GUGGUAAUGCCGGAUGCUCCAGUUGAUCGCAUGGUCUUCUGGGAAAGCUUUCGCGGUAUGGGAUGGGGUCGCGUCCUAUCAGCUUGACGGCGGGGUAACGGCCCACCGUGGCUUCGACGGGUAGCCGGCCUGAGAGGGCGACCGGCCACAUUGGGACUGAGAUACGGCCCAGACUCCUACGGGAGGCAGCAGUGGGGAAUAUUGCACAAUGGGCGCAAGCCUGAUGCAGCGACGCCGCGUGAGGGAUGGAGGCCUUCGGGUUGUAAACCUCUUUUAUCGGGGAGCAAGCGAGAGUGAGUUUACCCGUUGAAUAAGCACCGGCUAACUACGUGCCAGCAGCCGCGGUAAUACGUAGGGUGCAAGCGUUAUCCGGAAUUAUUGGGCGUAAAGGGCUCGUAGGCGGUUCGUCGCGUCCGGUGUGAAAGUCCAUCGCUUAACGGUGGAUCCGCGCCGGGUACGGGCGGGCUUGAGUGCGGUAGGGGAGACUGGAAUUCCCGGUGUAACGGUGGAAUGUGUAGAUAUCGGAAAGAAACACCA
rnacentral:rRNA from 1 species